AUGCAGUGUUUUGGAAAUGCC
rnacentral:misc_RNA from 1 species